rfam:Rattus norvegicus chromosome 13, whole genome shotgun sequence.
GGGGAUUUGGCUCAGUGGUAGAGCGCUUGCCUAGGAAGCGCAAGGUCCUGGGUUCGAUACCCAGCCCUG